CUACGGAGGGAGCAAGCGUUAUUCGGAAUCACUGGGCGUAAAGGACGCGUAGGCGGGUUUGUAAGACAGGUGUGAAAUCCUACAGCUCAACUGUAGAACUGCACUUGAAACUACAGACCUAGAGUAUGUAAGGGGCAGAUGGAAUUAGUGGUGUAGGGGUAAAAUCCGUAGAUAUCACUAGGAAUACCGAAAGCGAAGGCGAUCUGCUGGGACAUUACUGACGCUGAGGCGUGAAAGCGUGGGGAGCAAACAGAAUUAGAAACCCCAGUAGUCC
rnacentral:rRNA from 1 species